rnacentral:rRNA from 1 species
UACAGAGGUCCCAAGCGUUGUUCGGAUUCACUGGGCGUAAAGGGUGCGUAGGCGGUCGGGUAAGUCUGGCGUGAAAUCUCCAAGCCUAACUUGGAAACUGCGUUGGAUACUAUCCGGCUCGAGGAAUGGAGGGGAGACUGGAAUACUUGGUGUAGCAGUGAAAUGCGUAGAUAUCAAGCGGAACACCAGUGGCGAAGGCGAGUCCCUGGACAACUCCUGACACUGAGGCACGAAAGCUAGGGGAGCAAACAGG